AGGACGGUAAAAGUUGGCCCUGGGUCUCUGAGCUAGGCGGGGCCGGGGACCGGGGGGGCGGGGCCAGCGGGGCUCCUCCCCAUCCCCCUCCUCCUCUUCCCAGCGCCCCUCCCAGUCCCCAUCCCCAUCCUUCUCCUUCCCCGACGGGCCGGCCCGGCCCAGGGCUCCUCACACCGCCCGCCCGCCGGCCACGGUGCUCACCGCCCACUGUCUCCAGCAGGCUCCCCUGGCCCAAGGAGGGCGUCCACGCCCCCGCUCCCCAGGCCCCCAUUCGCAGCUCCCGGACGGAGCCAGUGCUUGCGGCCGCCGAGCCGGCGGGCUGGGAUGCGGACGCCUGCCGCUGCUCGCCGCUGAUCCCCCCCAGCCGGGACCCCGCUCGCUCCCCGCAGCCCAUGGGGCUGCCCUCCCGCUGAGCCCCCGAAGGUGGCCAGGGGAGCUGAACGUGCGUACUGACUAUGUGCCCGCUGUCCCGGGCACCCGGUCCUCGGACCCGGAGCCAGAGCCCGCGCGGGACAGCGCCGCCGCUGCUGCUCCAGCUGCUGCUGCUGCUGCUCCCGGCGGCCUGCACAACCCAAGGUGUGAUUGUGGGGAGCCCUCUGGGAGUCCCUGAACCGCCAACGCGAACCAGAGACCAUCCUGGCAGGUACAAGAUCGUCAGCCCCUCCCUUCUGAGUGGAGAACCAUGGAGUCCACUCAGUAGCAUCCCACCUAAGGAUCACCCAGUGCGACUGAGUUUUCGAAUCGAAGUGGAUGGUAAGGAGCUGAUUGUACACCUGGAGAGAAAUGAGUAGAAGAAGCAAACUCUAGAGAGAUGUGGGUUCAAGCCAGCCCCCCAGCACCAAGGAAUGUUGUUCAUUCAACCAGGAAUGGGAGCUCCAUGGCAUGCUCCACAUUCUUCACCUUCAGCAGCCCUCUGGCCACCCGAAGCAGCAGGAGAGGAGAAGCACCAGGGCUUCAAAGUAGGUGCUGACAAUCGGAGUAACCUAUAGCUGGGCGU
ensembl:lncRNA